AUUGAACGCUGGCGGCAUGCUUUACACAUGCAAGUCGAACGGCAGCGCGGUCUUCGUCCUGGCGGCGAGUGGCGAACGGGUGUGUAAUGCAUCGGAACGUCCCCAGGUGGGGGGGAUAGCCCCGCGAAAGCCGGAGUAAUACUGCAUACUACCUGAGGGUGAAAGAUGGGGACCGUUAGGCCUUUCGCGAUGUGAGCGGUCGAUGUCGGAUUAGCUAGUUGGUGGGUUAAAUGCUUGCCAAGGCGACGAUUCGUAGAUGGUCUGAGAGAGCGACAGGCCACACUGGGACUGAAACACGGACAAGACUCCUACGAGAGGCAGCAGUGGGAAAUUUUGGACAAUGGUGGCGAACCUGAUCCAGCCAUGCGGCGUCCGAGACAACAGCCUUCCGGUUGUAAACCGCGUUUGUUCGGGAAGAAACCCUCUGGGCUGAUACCACGGGGGGAUGACGGUACUGGAGGAAUAAGCACCGGCUAACUACGUG
rnacentral:rRNA from 1 species